rnacentral:rRNA from 1 species
AUGCAGCAUCUUACACUUGCAGCAUCUCUGUCUGCUGCUGUUCUCUUUGCAUGCAUCCUGUAUGCUGAAAGUGCCGAUCUGAACUCCGACAAGCAGGCUCUUCUUGCAUUUGCUGCAUCCCUGCCCCAUGGCAGGAAGCUCAACUGGAGCUCCACAACACCUGUCUGCACUUCUUGGGUUGGAGUGACAUGCACACCGGACAAUAGCCGUGUACACACACUACGGUUACCUGCAGUAGGACUCUUUGGCCCAAUACCCUCGGAUACGCUUGGCAAGCUUGAUGCCCUGGAGGUGUUGAGCCUCAGGUCUAAUCGCCUUACUGUUGACCUCCCUCCUGAUGUAGGAUCUAUUCCUUCUCUUCAUUCCCUCUACCUGCAGCAUAAUAAUCUGUCUGGAAUCAUACCAACUACACUUUCAUCCAGCCUAACAUUCCUAGAUCUGUCCUACAACACUUUUGAUGGGGAAAUCCCAUUGAGAGUACAGAAUCUCACUGGACUUACUGCAAUCCUUCUCCAGAACAACUCUCUUUCUGGACCCAUCCCUGACUUGCGUCUCCCCAAAUUGAGGCAUUUGAAUAUGAGCAACAACAACCUCAGUGGUCCAAUACCACCUUCCUUGCAGAAAUUCCCAGCUAGUUCAUUCUUAGGGAAUGCUUUUCUGUGUGGGUUACCAUUAGAACCAUGUCCUGGAACCGCGCCUUCUCCUUCACCGACACCACCACCAUCAGUGCCCAGCAAACCCAAGAAGAGCUUCUGGAAAAGGAUCAGGACAGGUGUUCUAAUUGCAAUUGCUGCUGCAGGAGGGGUAUUGUUGCUUCUCUUGAUUCUUGUAGUCUGUAUAUGUAUUUUCAAGAGAAAGAAACACGCAGAACCAACCGCAGCUUCGUCAUCCAAAGGAAAAGCUAUUGCAGGUGGAAGGACAGACACCCCUAAGGAAGACUACAGCAGUAGUGUUCAGGAGGCAGAGAGAAACAAACUGGUUUUCUUCGAGGGUUCUUCAUAUAACUUUGACCUGGAGGAUUUGCUGAGAGCUUCGGCUGAAGUACUUGGAAAAGGAAGCUUUGGAACUACCUACAAGGCUGUUCUUGAGGAUAGCACCACAGUUGUGGUCAAGAGAUUAAAGGAGAUGGUGGUGGGGAAGAAAGACUUUGAACAGCAGAUGGAGAUAGUUGGCAGGAUUGGCCAGCAUCAGAAUAUUGUUCCGCUGCGUGCUUAUUAUUACUCCAAAGAUGAGAAGCUACUGGUGUAUGACUAUGUCCCAGCUGGUAGCCUUGCUGCUGUUUUGCAUGGGAACAAAGCUACUGGAAGAGCUGCACUGGACUGGGAGACGAGAGUAAAGAUAUCUCUCGGCAUGGCUCGUGGACUCGCUCAUCUUCACGCUGAGGGGAGCGGGAAGUUCAUCCACGGCAACCUGAAAUCGUCGAACAUCCUUCUGUCACAGAACCUGGACGGCUGCGUCUCCGAAUUCGGCCUGGCACAGCUCAUGACCACCCUACCUGCCCCUGCGCGGCUCAUCGGAUACCGUGCGCCGGAGGUCCUGGAGACGAAGAAGCCGACCCAGAAGUCCGACGUCUACAGCUUCGGCGUGCUGCUCCUGGAAAUGCUGACCGGAAAGGCCCCCCUGAGGUCCCCCGGCCGCGAGGACUCCGUUGAGCACCUGCCGCGGUGGGUGCAGUCCGUGGUCCGGGAGGAGUGGACCGCGGAGGUGUUCGACGUGGACCUGCUGCGGCACCCCAACAUCGAGGACGAGAUGGUGCAGCUGCUCCAGGUGGCCAUGGCGUGCGUGGCCGUCGCGCCGGACCAGCGGCCGAAGAUGGACGAGGUGAUCAGGCGGAUCGCCGAGAUCCGGAACUCGUACUCGGGGCCGGCGAGCCCGCCGGAGGAGACCGCCGCCCAGGCGCCGUGA